rnacentral:tRNA from 1 species
GACAUUGUGGCCUAAUGGAGAAGCCGUCGGACAUCGGAUCCGAAGAUUGCAUUUUCGAGUCCUGCCAGGGUCG